rnacentral:rRNA from 1 species
UACGUAGGGGGCAAGCGUUGUCCGGAUUUACUGGGCGUAAAGAGCGUGUAGGCGGCCACGCAGGUCCGUUGUGAAAACUGGAGGCUCAACCUCCAGCUGUCGACGGAAACCGUGUGGCUAGAGUCCGGAGGAGGAGAGUGGAAUUCCUGGUGUAGCGGUGAAAUGCGCAGAUAUCAGGAAGAACACCAAUGGCGAAGGCAGCUCUCUGGGACGGUACUGACGCUGAGACGCGAAAGCGUGGGGAGCGAACAGG